UACAGAGGUCUCAAGCGUUGUUCGGAUUCAUUGGGCGUAAAGGGUGCGUAGGUGGCGCUGUAAGUCGGGUGUGAAAUUCGGAGCUUAACUCCGAAACUGCAUUCGAUACUGCGGUGCUUGAGGACUGGAGAGGAGACUGGAAUUCAUGGUGUAGCAGUGAAAUGCGUAGAGAUCAUGAGGAAGACCAGUGGCGAAGGCGGGUCUCUGGACAGUUCCUGACACUGAGGCACGGAAGGCCAGGGGAGCAAACGGG
rnacentral:rRNA from 1 species